UACAGAGGUCUCAAGCGUUGUUCGGAUUCAUUGGGCGUAAAGGGUGCGUAGGCGGCGGGGCAAGUCAGGUGUGAAAUCCCGGAGCUCAACUCCGGAACUGCACUUGAUACUGCCUUGCUAGAGUACUGGAGAGGAGACUGGAAUUUACGGUGUAGCAGUGAAAUGCGUAGAUAUUCGCAAGAACACCAGUGGCGAAGGCGGCUCACUGGCCCGAUACUGACGCUGAGGCACGAAAGCGUGGGGAGCAAACAGG
rnacentral:rRNA from 1 species